GAAGGGAGAGAUCUGAUUGCUAUUUGUGCUUUUGAACUUUGUAUUUGUAUGCCCACUCACCCAAAGGGAAGGCAAAUCGAGCAGAGGUGCUUUCACUUUCCAUUUCUAAGCCUCCUCCUGCUGAAGUGUGGCACCGAGACACAAAGUUUGGAUUUCCUAGAGUGCAAAGAAACAAGCAGCAAACUACAGGAAGGUUCUUACACAUGGUCAUCUACUGUGGAUAGAUGUGAUCUCAUGGCAAGGAAGGGGGUGUGCAGAAAGAGAAGAGCCUGGGGUAAGCUGCUGGGCAUCGGAAUAACUCAUCAUGAUAGAGACCACCACAAUGUCAGCAUCUCUAACACUGCAUGUCAGAGAAGUCCUCAGGAAAAAGUAUGGCGAAGAUGGAGCUGUGGGCUACAAGACGUACUCUGGUGAUCAAUGCUUUGGAUACCACUGUCCUAAGGAGCCCAUUCUUCUCAUAUUCUUUCCAGAAUUUUGUGAUGCUCAAAUGCACAUAAAGAAGUCAGAAAUAAAGUGUGCCAAAGGCUUCUCUGUGGAAAGU